UCACCAUUAUUUCUUCAUCUCCUGCCCAAAUAUUCAGGAAUAUGGGUUUGAAGAUGAGUACUGGUACAGCUCCCAUUAAAGAUGAGGACCAGAGCAAGGACUUGCUAAUUGAUAUAA